AAUGAACGUUGGCGGCGUGGAUUAGGCGUGCAAGUCGUGCGGCAGCAGGCCCCGCAAGGGGUGCUGGCGAGCGGCGAAAGGGUCAGUAACACGUGGAUAACCUACCCCCGGGCCCGGAAUAGCGGCGGGAAACUGCCGGUAAUGCCGGAUAAUGUCCCUGGACCAAAGGGGUGAUUCCGUCCGAGGAUGGGUCCGCGUCCUAUUAGCUAGUUGGUGAGGUAACGGCCCACCAAGGCAAAGAUGGGUAGGGGGUGUGAGAGCAUGACCCCCGACACUGGGACUGAGACACUGCCCAGACACCUACGGGUGGCUGCAGUCGAGAAUCUUCGGCAAUGGGCGCAAGCCUGACCGAGCGACGCCGCGUGCGGGAUGAAGGCCUUCGGGUUGUAAACCGCUGUCAGAGGGGCGGAAAUAUGUUGGAGUUCUCUCCAGCAUUUGACUUAACCUCAGAGGAAGCAUGGGCUAAGUUCGUGCCAGCCGCCGCGGUAAUAC
rnacentral:rRNA from 1 species